rnacentral:rRNA from 1 species
AACUCAGCAAAAUAGCUCCGUAAUUUUGGGAGAAGAGGUGUCCCCCUUAAAAAGAGGGUUGUAAUGACAAGGCCCAGACGACUCUUUAUCAAAAACACAAGUUUCCGCAAAGUCAUAAGGCCAUGUAUGGGGCUAAUGCCUACCUAGCCCCGAAAGGUCAAGGAAGUUGGUGACCUGAUGACAGGAGAGCCGGGGCAUUGAGCUAACAGCCCGUCGUGCGGCC